GGGCCUAUAGCUCAGCUGGGAGAGCGCCUGGUUCGCAUUCAGGAGGUCAGGGGUUCGAGUCCCCUUAGGUCCACCA
rnacentral:tRNA from 3 species